CUUGCCUUGUAAUACUCCUGUCUUGUUCAUAGAUAUGUAAUACUGACUUUUUACCCCUUUGAUAGCGAGGAUACCUCCUUCGGAGACUGUGCGUAUUUCCAGGAUACCUGCAAUGCCAUCAAAGCAAGAGUCCUAGGACAUUGCAGCCGGUUCCACUGCAGGCUGAAGGAUGCGCCUUUUGGGUUGGCAGUCUCAGGAACGGAGGAUCUGCAGGAUUUAGAAAAUGACAGAAGAGCAGGUUUGGAUGACUUGUUCAGACCCAAGAAAUCUCCCCUGCAGGUGCUACAAGUUUAACAGAUCGAUCCGUGCAACUUUAUCCAAACGUCAGCUUGGGAAAAACGACGCACAGUGAUUUCACCAGAAGAGGGGACAAAACACGCCUCGUGGCUGUGAAUCUCUCCGAGCGGUGCCGUGGGGAUGGGCGGGGGGGGGGCUGCUCUUGCUUUCUAACAGGGCGCAUAAUUCAAACGCCUCACUACAGCCAUUCUACUGGCGGACAGCAGAUAUCAUACGAUGAAAAGGAUUGUCCGGACUCAAGUAAACAACAGCGUCUUUUGUAUACACGAUUAUGCGUCUGUAAAUCCUGAAGUAAUGCCUCAACAUCACUCAAAUAUGCAAAUUUAUAAGCCUCAAAUAAAAACACUCGGUCUCUCCGAUGAGCAAAGAUUUUUUGUUACUUAAAGCUGUACGGCGGUACAAGUGCAAAAAAGGAAAUCCCAGCUUUUUGGUAAUUACUUGUGACGAAGUGCAGUCCGCGUGUCGGCCCGGCUCCGGUAGGAAGGGGUGCUGCAGCUCCCCGCUGGCCGGAGACCUUAAAGCGAUCGAGCUGCUCCCCGGUAACCUCUAAUAAAGGGUAAAGUGGGGAACGGUGUGACACCCCCGCCUCCGCUUUUUAUGACUCCCUACUUCACAGGAAACGAUGGAUUGACGGUCGUAAAAAGACGUCCCUUCACAAGUGCCCGACCCAACGUCAGAUGCUCGUUUCGCCGGAGCGACACUUCCAUGCUUUACGCACCUUUACUUUGGCGAGACGUAUCAAGUUUGUAAAGUCAGUCCAAACCACCUGAUGAAAUAUUUCUUAGAGACGUUCUUAACGAAAGCCAGAGAAGUACAUGAGCCAGUUGCUUAAGUAUCGGCGUCAAGACCGUGGCAACAUCUGACCGACGGAAUUAGUUGUUUUUAUCGCGGACAUAAUAUUUGAAAACAAAGUUUUUUUUUCUUUUCUUUUUUAUAAUAAAAUUUACGAACACAGUUGAGUCUGCCACGAAUAUCAAAGCAGUUCAUUUUGUCUAAAUAACUGAUUCAAUAGAUAAUUUGUCAAAAGAAGUAAAAUGAAGAUUAUGGUCCACACCUCCAUGGAAAUAGGAUGACAAUUUAUCAGAGCAAGAGACAAGCUUUUAAAUAACCUUUUUGGGAUAGUUUGAAAACCAAAUCAUUAUGGUAUCUAAAUGUUUGCGUGAUUUCAUAGUCUCAUCAUCUGUUUUGUUCUUUUUGUUUACAAAUAUAAGUAUGACUCAUAUAAUGUAAUUGCUUUCACCAUUUCUCUGUUUUUCAUGGAAUUUCUUAAAAGUGUCUGGCAUGAUGGAUCAUUCCCACUCAGUGGACGAGGCCGUCAGGAUGAAUUAAUAUAUGGACCUGCGUAUCCUCCAAAGGCCUGCUCUUACCCAGCCCAGCAGUCACAGUCGUUGAUGUUUGGUAAUAGUAGGGAAGAGGCCAGCUGGAGCUGUUUUGGCAAUAGACUGGGUGGAUGUGCAUCAGGUCUGACGUCUGGGCCCAGACAGGUACCCCAGUGGUACGAAGUUUCUAAAGGGCUGCCGGUGCAGACUGGGGCAGAUGGGAAACAAGGCUGGCAAGUGACACACUGGGGUUGUCACCUCAGUCCGGAAAAAUUUCUGGACACUCAGUCAUUGACCAAAAUUUUUGCACAUAGUGAAACCAUUCCAAAGGUUGUUUAGGUCUGCUUGAUAGCAGAAUUGAUAGGGGUAUUCCCUGUCACAGAAUGAAAUCCUUUCUUCAAGGACAGAUGACCAGGAUCCGAGGUGAUCCUGGGAAAUCCUGGGUGGGUGGCAACCCUAUGACAGGUAAUAAGCAGAUGAGCUUAGGGACUUUCCUCUGGUGAGUGGCUACUUCCAGGUUUUGAAUUGCAUGAAUUUUUAAUCCAAUAAUUUAAUCUAUCCAUGAACUACCUAUGUGAGGGGUCUCAAAGGGAAGGAAGGAUUGACUUUUCCUUGUUCCUUGUGAAACUGCCGUGAAGAUGCAGAAUUUUGAGGCUUCCCUUGAGGAGAUGACAAGCAUUUUAUCUGGCGGAUUUUAAUGAUACGGUAGUGAUGUGUGGCCCCACAAUGUUCAGGAUGUUUAACCGAAUCUCAGCAGUGAUUGAAAGGUCCUGUGAUGUGGGCUUCUUCAUAAUGUCUGGUGAUGUGUAUCUGGCUGCAGAGACCCCAAAGCACACCUGACCAGCAAAUAUCCGUAACGGGAAAUUUAUAUACUGCUAGAGUAUAUAAGUAAGAUGAAAUGCCA